GCUGAUGUGUCCGAGCGGUCUAAGGAGCCAGACUUAAGUUCUGGUAUGCGUAAGCAUGCGUGGGUUCGAACCCCACCGUCAGCA
rnacentral:tRNA from 1 species